GACGAACGCUGGCGGCGUGCUUAACACAUGCAAGUCGAACGGAAAGGCCCUGCUUUUGUGGGGUGCUCGAGUGGCGAACGGGUGAGUAACACGUGAGUAACCUGCCCUUGACUUUGGGAUAACUUCAGGAAACUGGGGCUAAUACCGGAUAGGAGCUCCUGCUGCAUGGUGGGGGUUGGAAAGUUUCGGCGGUUGGGGAUGGACUCGCGGCUUAUCAGCUUGUUGGUGGGGUAGUGGCUUACCAAGGCUUUGACGGGUAGCCGGCCUGAGAGGGUGACCGGCCACAUUGGGACUGAGAUACGGACCAGACUCCUACGGGGGGCAGCAGGGGGGAAUAUUGCACAAUGGGCGGAAGCCUGAUGCAGCAACGCCGCGGGCGGGAUGACGGCCUUCGGGUUGUAAACCGCUUUCGCCUGUGACGAAGCGUGAGUGACGGUAAUGGGUAAAGAAGCACCGGCUAACUACGUG
rnacentral:rRNA from 1 species